rnacentral:rRNA from 1 species
UACGAAGGACCCGAGCGUUAUCCGGAUUUAUUGGGUUUAAAGGGUGCGUAGGCGGCUUAGUAAGUCAGUGGUGAAAGCCCAUCGCUUAACGGUGGAAUUGCCAUUGAUACUGCUAGUCUUGAGUAUGGUUGAGGUGGGCGGAAUGUGUCAUGUAGCGGUGAAAUGCUUAGAUAUGACACAGAACACCAAUUGCGAAGGCAGCUCGCUAAGCCAUAACUGACGCUGAUGCACGAAAGCGUGGGGAGCAAACAGG